rnacentral:rRNA from 1 species
UACGGAGGGUGCAAGCGUUAAUCGGAAUUACUGGGCGUAAAGCGCACGCAGGCGGUCUGUCAAGUCGGAUGUGAAAUCCCCGGGCUCAACCUGGGAACUGCAUUCGAAACUGGCAGGCUUGAGUCUUGUAGAGGGGGGUAGAAUUCCAGGUGUAGCGGUGAAAUGCGUAGAGAUCUGGAGGAAUACCGGUGGCGAAGGCGGCCCCCUGGACAAAGACUGACGCUCAGGUGCGAAAGCGUGGGGAGCAA